rnacentral:rRNA from 1 species
UACGAAGGGGGCUAGCGUUGCUCGGAAUUACUGGGCGUAAAGCGCACGUAGGCGGCCUUCUAAGUCGGGGGUGAAAUCCUGGAGCUCAACUCCAGAACUGCCUUCGAUACUGGAGAGCUCGAGUCCGGGAGAGGUGAGUGGAACUGCGAGUGUAGAGGUGAAAUUCGUAGAUAUUCGCAAGAACACCAGUGGCGAAGGCGGCUCACUGGCCCGGUACUGACGCUGAGGUGCGAAAGCGUGGGGAGCAAACCGG